rnacentral:rRNA from 1 species
CAUGAAGUCGGAAUUGCUAGUAAUCGCAGAUCAGCAUGCUGCGGUGAAUACGUUCCCGGGCCUUGUACACACCGCCCGUCACACCAUGGGAGUCGGUAACACCCGAAGCCUGUAGUCUAACCGCAAGGAGGACGCAGUCGAAGGUGGGAUUGAUGACUGGGGUGAAGUCGUAACAAGGUAUC